UAAGCACUGCCUCCAUCCCAAAAUUCUUAUCUUAGAUUUUUCUAAAUAUGGAUGUAUCAAGUCACGUUUUAGUAUUAGAUACAUCUGUUCUAUACAAAUCUAAGAUGUCAAUUUUGGGACGGAGGGAGUACGCG
rfam:Triticum urartu cultivar G1812 contig1133397, whole genome shotgun sequence.